CAGUCGCCACGGUAAUACGAAGGGGGCUAGCGUUGUUCGGAUUUACUGGGCGUAAAGGGCGCGUAGGCGGACUGAUAAGUCAGGGGUGAAAUCCCAAGGCUCAACCUUGGAACUGCCUUUGAUACUGUUUGUCUUGAGUUCGAGAGAGGUAAGUGGAACUGCGAGUGUAGAGGUGAAAUUCGUAGAUAUUCGCAAGAACACCAGUGGCGAAGGCGGCUUACUGGCUCGAAACUGACGCUGAGGCUCGAAAGCCAGGGGAGCGAACGGGAUUAGAUACCCGAGUAGUCCCUGUCUCUUAUAC
rnacentral:rRNA from 1 species